rnacentral:rRNA from 1 species
GUCGAGCGGCGGACGGGUGAGUAAUGCCUAGGAAAUUGCCCUGAUGUGGGGGAUAACCAUUGGAAACGAUGGCUAAUACCGCAUGAUGCCUACGGGCCAAAGAGGGGGACCUUCGGGCCUCUCGCGUCAGGAUAUGCCUAGGUGGGAUUAGCUAGUUGGUGAGGUAAGGGCUCACCAAGGCGACGAUCCCUAGCUGGUCUGAGAGGAUGAUCAGCCACACUGGAACUGAGACACGGUCCAGACUCCUACGGGAGGCAGCAGUGGGGAAUAUUGCACAAUGGGCGCAAGCCUGAUGCAGCCAUGCCGCGUGUGUGAAGAAGGCCUUCGGGUUGUAAAGCACUUUCAGUCGUGAGGAAGGUGGGUACGUUAAUAGCUGCUUUAUUUGACGUUAGCGACAGAAGAAGCACCGGCUAACUCCGUGCCAGCAGCCGCGGUAAUACGGAGGGUGCGAGCGUUAAUCGGAAUUACUGGGCGUAAAGCGCAUGCAGGUGGUUUGUUAAGUCAGAUGUGAAAGCCCGGGGCUCAACCUCGGAAUUGCAUUUGAAACUGGCAGACUAGAGUACUGUAGAGGGGGGUAGAAUUUCAGGUGUAGCGGUGAAAUGCGUAGAGAUCUGAAGGAAUACCGGUGGCGAAGGCGGCCCCCUGGACAGAUACUGACACUCAGAUGCGAAAGCGUGGGGAGCAAACAGGAUUAGAUACCCUGGUAGUCCACGCCGUAAACGAUGUCUACUUGGAGGUUGUGGCCUUGAGCCGUGGCUUUCGGAGCUAACGCGUUAAGUAGACCGCCUGGGGAGUACGGUCGCAAGAUUAAAACUCAAAUGAAUUGACGGGGGCCCGCACAAGCGGUGGAGCAUGUGGUUUAAUUCGAUGCAACGCGAAGAACCUUACCUACUCUUGACAUCCAGAGAACUUUCCAGAGAUGGAUUGGUGCCUUCGGGAACUCUGAGACAGGUGCUGCAUGGCUGUCGUCAGCUCGUGUUGUGAAAUGUUGGGUUAAGUCCCGCAACGAGCGCAACCCUUAUCCUUGUUUGCCAGCGAGUAAUGUCGGGAACUCCAGGGAGACUGCCGGUGAUAAACCGGAGGAAGGUGGGGACGACGUCAAGUCAUCAUGGCCCUUACGAGUAGGGCUACACACGUGCUACAAUGGCGCAUACAGAGGGCGGCCAACUUGCGAAAGUGAGCGAAUCCCAAAAAGUGCGUCGUAGUCCGGAUUGGAGUCUGCAACUCGACUCCAUGAAGUCGGAAUCGCUAGUAAUCGUGGAUCAGAAUGCCACGGUGAAUACGUUCCCGGGCCUUGUACACACCGCCCGUCACACCAUGGGAGUGGGCUGCAAAAGAAGUAGGUAG